rnacentral:rRNA from 1 species
CCUACGGGUGGCAGCAGUGAGGAAUAUUGGUCAAUGGACGAGAGUCUGAACCAGCCAAGUAGCGUGAAGGAUGACUGCCCUAUGGGUUGUAAACUUCUUUUAUAUGGGAAUAAAAUGUUCCACGUGUGGGAUUUUGUAUGUACCAUAUGAACAAGGAUCGGCUAACUCCGUGCCAGCAGCCGCGGUAAUACGGAGGAUCCGAGCGUUAUCCGGAUUUAUUGGGUUUAAAGGGAGCGUAGGUGGAUUGUUAAGUCAGUUGUGAAAGUUUGCGGCUCAACCGUAAAAUUGCAGUUGAAACUGGCAGGCUUGAGUACAGGAGAGGUGAGCGGAAUUCGUGGUGUAGCGGUGAAAUGCUUAGAUAUCACGAAGAACUCCGAUUGCGAAGGCAGCUCACUGGACUGCAACUGACACUGAGGCUCGAAAGUGUGGGUAUCAAACAGGAUUAGAUACCCUGGUAGUC